AUUGAACGCUGGCGGCAGGCUUAACACAUGCAAGUCGAGCGAGCGGCGGACGGGUGUGUAAUGUCUGGGAAACUGCCUGAUGGAGGGGGUUAACUACUGGAAACGGUAGCUAAUACCGCAUACCAUCAGAUGUGCCCAGAUGGGAUUAGCUAGUAGGUGGGGUAAUGGCUCACCUAGGCGACGAUCCCUAGCUGGUCUGCGAGGAUGACCAGCCACACUGGAAAUGAGACACGGUCCAGACGCCUACGGGUGGCAGCGUGGGGGAAUAUUGCACAAUGGGAGCAAGCCUGAUGCAGCCAUGCCGCGUGUAUGAAGAAGGCCUUCGGGUUGUAAAGUAGUUUCAGCGGGGAGGCGUUACCCGCAGAAGAAGCACCGGCUAACUCCGUGCCAGCCGCCGCGGUAAUAC
rnacentral:rRNA from 1 species